rnacentral:rRNA from 1 species
CCUACGGGGGGCUGCAGUGAGGAAUAUUGCGCAAUGGGGGAAACCCUGACGCAGCGACGCCGCGUGGAUGAUGAAGGCCCUUGGGUCGUAAAAUCCUGUCAGAUGGAAAGAAGUGUUAUGGAGUUAAUACCUCUGUAGCUUGACGGUACCAUCAAAGGAAGCACCGGCUAACUCCGUGCCAGCAGCCGCGGUAAUACGGAGGGUGCAAGCGUGCGUCGGAAUUGCUGGGCGUAAUUAGCAAGUCGGCGGUGAAAGUCCCCGGCUCAACCGUGGAAGUGCAUUUGAAACUGGCAGACUUGAGUAUUGGAGGGGGUGGUGGAAUUCCCGGUGUAGAGGUGAAAUUCGUAGAUAUCGGGAGGAAUACCGGUGGCGAAGGCGACCACCUGGCCAAAUACUGACGCUGAGGUGCGAAAGCGUGGGGAGCAAACAGGAUUAGAUACCCUAGUAGUC